rnacentral:rRNA from 1 species
GAUGAACGCUGGCGGCGUGCCUAAUACAUGCAAGUCGAGCGAACAGACGAGGAGCUUGCUCCUCUGACGUUAGCGGCGGACGGGUGAGUAACACGUGGAUAACCUACCUAUAAGACUGGGAUAACUUCGGGAAACCGGAGCUAAUACCGGAUAAUAUAUUGAACCGCAUGGUUCAAUAGUUAAAGACGGUUUUGCUGUCACUUAUAGAUGGAUCCGCGCCGCAUUAGCUAGUUGGUAAGGUAACGGCUUACCAAGGCAACGAUGCGUAGCCGACCUGAGAGGGUGAUCGGCCAAACUGGAACUGAGACACGGUCCAGACUACUACGGGAGGCAGCAGUAGGGAAUAUUCCGCAAUGGGCGAAAGCCUGACGGAGCAACGCCGCGUGAGUGAUGAAGGUCUUCGGAUCGUAAAACUCUGUUAUUAGGGAAGAACAAAUGUGUAAGUAACUAUGCACGUCUUGACGGUAACUAAUCAGAAAGCCACGGCUAACUACGUG